UGCAAUCUGUGGUUUACUUCCAUACAUGAGAAAUUUCUUAACAAUAUUUCUCGAAUAUUUGGCUUUACUUAACUCAACCAAAUCAUCUCGCAAUUCUUCAAAAGCCUGUUUUCUCUGUUCUUCAUUACCAUACUGAAUGUAACACUGGAUCACACGAGUUGAAUCGUGUGCAAAUGCAAUAGUUUUAAUUUUCCCUUGAAUCAACUUCUGCAAAUCACUCAUUA
rnacentral:misc_RNA from 1 species